UACGGAGGGAGCUAGCGUUGUUCGGAAUUACUGGGCGUAAAGCGCACGUAGGCGGCUUCUUAAGUCAGGGGUGAAAUCCUGGAGCUCAACUCCAGAACUGCCUUUGAUACUGAGAAGCUUGAGUCCGGGAGAGGUGAGUGGAACUGCGAGUGUAGAGGUGAAAUUCGUAGAUAUUCGCAAGAACACCAGUGGCGAAGGCGGCUCACUGGCUCGAUACUGACGCUGAGGUGCGAAAGCGUGGGGAGCAAACAGG
rnacentral:rRNA from 1 species